UGGGGAAUAUUGGACAAUGGGGGCAACCCUGAUCCAGCAAUGCCGCGUGCGGGAUGAAGGCCCUAGGGUUGUAAACCGCUUUCAGCAGGGAAGAAAAUGACGGUACCUGCAGAAGAAGGUGCGGCCAACUACGUGCCAGCAGCCGCGGUGACACGUAGGCACCAAGCGUUGUCCGGAUUUAUUGGGCGUAAAGAGCUCGUAGGCGGUUCAGUUAGUCGGGUGUGAAAACUCUGGGCUCAACCCAGAGACGCCACCCGAUACUGCUGUGACUAGAGUACGGUAGGGGAGUGGGGAAUUCCUGGUGUAGCGGUGAAAUGCGCAGAUAUCAGGAGGAACACCAGUGGCGAAGGCGCCACUCUGGGCCGUAACCGACGCUGAGGAGCGAAAGCAUGGGUAGCAA
rnacentral:rRNA from 1 species